GUCAGCAUAGCACAGUGGUUUCAGUGUUGGACUACAACUCUGAAGAUCAGGGUUUGAUUCCCAGCUUGGCCA